UUACUGACAACUAAAGGGAAAUGGAUGUCUGUUAGGAGUAAGCACCUGAUAGACUUACUGAAUAACGAUAUUUUAAAUUCAUUUGUACGUAAUAAUAUCAACUUUCUAACUUUAACAGUCAUUGCUUAGAGUUACGAAUAACUUUAGUGUACUUCGUUCUCUUUAGUGAGCACCUGUUCUUUCAAAUCGGAAAAAAGUAAUUUAGUGAGUGAUAAGAACCGUUUACCUGGCAAAAGAAAAAAAAAAUUCCCCUGUCUACGCCAACAGGAAAGUCACCAAUAGAAGGCCUACAGUACGUUUUGCGGCUAGAUUAGUUUGAGGAAGCAUUGUAGGAUGAAACCAAGUGUCACUUGUUAGUAGUGUGCCAAUGCUAUAGCCUAUGUUGAUUGUCUAAAAUGGCUGCGCUAAUGUCUGGACAGAACAGCAGCAACAGCGCUACGCCAUCAGCUAUUCCACUUACAAAAACUGGAUUGCACAAGUGCCUCUGGUCUUUUGUUAGUUCCAACUCUGGUGUUAGUGCGUAACGGUGAUGGGAAUUCAAUCCACCUAACUUGUUCAUCUGUCUGGACAAUGGAACCAUGACGAAGAGCGAAUUUACCCACUUCACCAUUAAAGAGGAUAGUAGGAUAUUUGAUGUUGACCGGUGUGACAUGAUUACGAAAACGAGACCAAUAUUCUCGUCGGAGGUUUGCGUGUUGGACUGGAAGAAGGAAUGGCAGUAUUCCAUCCAUCCUGGGUCCGGAAGCGUCUGCUGUUGUGAUGGUCCAGGGCUUUUUAAAUUGCUGUCAUGGAUUUGCCUUUAGUUUCUCAGAAUUGUCUUGGACGAGCUGAAUAACGAACUAAGCUUUUAAAAUAAUGAUUAUGGAAUCUGCAACAUAGUUACUGGGAAGACAAGGGAAUUUUGUGCAUUUCAGAAGAAGGGAAAGGUAAUUUCUCUCUAUUGGAAUAUCAUAUUCGAAGUUUACUUGAUAAUAUUUUCUAUCAGAAAAUAUAAAUGGAUGGUCUUAGAUCAAUUGUUCCUUUGAUUUUAUUUUGAAAAGGGUUAGGUUAUGUUAGACAUAUUUUCUUUGAGUUCUAAUGUAAAUAGUUUUUUAAAUUAUUCUUGGCGAUAUUCGAACUAUAUAUAAAUAAAUGUAAG